rnacentral:rRNA from 1 species
GAUGAACGCUCGCGAUAGGCUUAACACAUGCAAGUCGAGGGGCAGCAUGGUCUUAGCUUGCUAAGACUGAUGGCGACCGGCGCACGGGUGCGUAACGCGUAUGCAACUUGCCUCACAGAGGGGGAUAACCCGUCGAAAGACGGACUAAUACCGCGUACACUUGGGAUAGGGCAUCCUGACCCAAGGAAAUGAAAUUCGCUGUGAGAUAGGCAUGCGUCCCAUUAGCUAGUUGGUGAGGUAACGGCUCACCAAGGCGACGAUGGGUAGGGGAACUGAGAGGUUGAACCCCCACACUGGGACUGAGACACGGACCAGACUCCUACGGGAGGCAGCAGUGAGGAAUAUUGGUCAAUGGGCGAGAGCCUGAACCAGCCAAGUCGCGUGAAGGAUGACUGUCUUAUGGAUUGUAAACUUCUUUUAUACGGGAAUAACAAGAGUCACGUGUGGCUCCCUGCAUGUACCGUAUGAAUAAGCAUCGGCUAACUCCGUG